rnacentral:rRNA from 1 species
CCUACGGUGGGUAGCAGUGAGGAAUAUUGGUCAAUGGGCGUAAGCCUGAACCAGCCAAGUCGCGUGAGGGAUGAAGGUUCUAUGGAUCGUAAACCUCUUUUAUAAGGGAAUAAAGUGCGGGACGUGUCCCGUUUUGUAUGUACCUUAUGAAUAAGGAUCGGCUAACUCCGUGCCAGCAGCCGCGGUAAUACGUAGGGGGCAAGCGUUAUCCGGAUUUACUGGGUGUAAAGAGUUGCGUAUGUGGCAUAAUAAGUAGCUAGUGAAAUCUGGUGGCUCAACCAUUCAGACUAUUAGCUAAACUGUUAAGCUCGAGACCGUUAGGGGUAACUGGAAUUUCUAGUGUAGGAGUGAAAUCCGUAGAUAUUAGAAGGAACACCAAUAGCGUAGGCAGGUUGCUGGGACGGGUCUGACACUAAGGCACGAAAGCGUAGGGAGCAAACGGGAUUAGAUACCCGAGUAGUC